UACGUAGGCAGCAAGCGUUGUUCGGAGUUACUGGGCGUAAAGAGUGCGUAGGUGGUGCCCUAAGUCUGUUGUGAAAUCUCCCGGCUUAACUGGGAGGGUGCGGUGGAAACUGGGGUGCUUGAGUGUGGGAGAGGUAAGCGGAAUUCCUGGUGUAGCGGUGAAAUGCGUAGAUAUCAGGAAGAACACCCAUGGCGAAGGCAGCUCUCUGGGACGGUACUGACGCUGAGACGCGAAAGCGUGGGGAGCGAACAGG
rnacentral:rRNA from 1 species